rnacentral:rRNA from 1 species
AUACGGAGGAUCCAAGCGUUAUCCGGAUUUAUUGGGUUUAAAGGGUGCGUAGGCGGACUGGUAAGUCAGCUGUGAAAGUCUGUGGCUCAACCAUAGAAUUGCCGUUGAAACUGGGGGGCUUGAGUAUGUUUGAGGCAGGCGGAAUGCGGGGUGUAGCGGUGAAAUGCAUAGAUAUCCCGCAGAACCCCGAUUGCGAAGGCAGCCUGCCAAGCCAUGACUGACGCUGAUGCACGAAAGCGUGGGGAUCAAACAGGAUUAGAUACCCUGGUAGUCCACGCAGUAAACGAUGAUCACUAGCUGUUUGCGAUACACUGUAAGCGGCACAGCGAACGCGUUAAGUGAUCCACCUGGGGAGUACGCCGGAAACGGUGAAACUCAAAGGAAUUGACGGG